rnacentral:rRNA from 1 species
CCCCUAGAUGUUCUGGGCCGCACGCGUGCUACACUGACCGGCGCAACAAGCUUUUUUCCUUGGCUCGACAGGCCUGGGUAAUCUUCGAACGCCGGUCGUGAUGGGGAUAGAUCCUUGCAAUUUUUGAUCUUCAACGAGGAAUUCCUAGUAAAUGCGAGUCAUCAUCUCGCGUUGAUUACGUCCCUGCCCUUUGUACACACCGCCCGUCGCACCUACCGAUUGAAUGGUCCGGUGAAAUCUCGGGACGGCGGCUUGGUCGCUUGCGUCCGACUGCUGAAACUUGAUUAAACCAUAUCAUUUAGAGGAAGGUGAAGUCGUAACA